rnacentral:lncRNA from 1 species
UUUAUUAUCAUUAUUAUAUCAAACUACUAUAUAAAUGGAGAAAUACUUCAUUUUCUAGGGUUACAUAGCAGAAUGCGCAGCGCCGCCGCAGCCUCCACUCUCUCUAGACUCAGACGAAAACCCUAAAUCAUUUCUUAGGGUUACACAGUUAUAUCAGAUGCGCCGCUACCAACAACUGCUAUUACCAUCUCUCUCUUAAACCUUGCAAACCCUAGAAAACUAUCUCUGCUAAAAACUACCUUCGUUCUCAUACGAAAACCACCAAAAUCAACAAUCACAAAGGUAGCGCCUAUUUCAUCUUCCACGAACAACGGCGAAAGAAAGUACUACAAAUCGAUGCUCACUCCAGUUCAAUAUACAGAAAAAGGUGAAAAUCUAACUAUUUCUCUCACUUUUGAUAUAGAUCUAUGGUUUCUUUUUCAGAAAUUAUAUAUAAUUUAACUAUUUUAUAGAUACAUAUCUUAAACAUAUUGUUUAACCUAAGAAUUAUUUGUAGGUGUCGAAUACCAUGAAAUAAUCAGGAUUACCCAUAUUCAAGAUAAGUAUCUAUAUAUAUUUUUUCUUAUAUUUAACUAUGUUCAUGAAUUGCUAUACUGAUGUUUCUUUCUUUCCCUAUUUGACAGAAAUUGGAGAAAUAUAGUUACAAAAAAUAAAAAGAGGUAUUAAUUACAGACGCCCGAAGAAAUUGGUAUAAACAGGUAUAAUAUUUUCAUUUGUAAUACCUGUAACAUUUUCAUCUCCAUUCACCACCUUCCCACAAAAUUUGAGAGAUUUUGUCAACUUUCUCAUGUUCAAUUACCUGCGAAAAUACAAAAAAAAAGAUCUAGUAGUUAAAUGCAAACAAUAUUUUUGAAAAACCGAGAAACUACAAUAAUCAAACUUAAAAUUUUCAUAACAUUACACUCUAUAUGCUCUAUCCGUGAAAAAUGAAGUAUCUGUGAAUUGCUGCUUCAAGCUGCAGAUUUUGUAAAAUAAAGAAUGAAUAGAAUUUUUGCCUUAUAUAAGAUUUUACAAAAUAUAUAUCUAUUGGGUAUUAACCAUAAGUGAUAAGCUAAUCGAAAGUACAUACUUGGGCAGCACUCAUCUCACUUGAACUGUGUGAUAAUCUGUCAUAGGAAACACAAAAAGUUAAAGGACCAUUUUUUAAAAACAUUAUCUCGUGGAUAAUAAGAUUACACACAUCUUCAUCUGUUACUUCUUUAAAAAUGACAACUGAAGUAAUUUUUUUUAAAUUAUCAACAAUAGCAAAUUGCAUUUUGUAUAUAAAUCAACAAUAUAUUGCUAUUCACACUAAAUAAUAAAUUCAUGCAACAUUUUUGACAACUAAUUUUAUAAAAAGUAAAAGAUUUCAACUCAACUAUAAAUAAUAGAUAGUAUAUUCUAAUUUUACCAUUACAAAUUAUAUUUCACAACGAAUUUAUAUUUUAAUAGCUAUAAACAUUAAUAUUUCACCAUUACAAAUUAACUCACAAUGAUUUUUUUUUUCCACAAAGUUUUAUCAUUUCUAUGUUCCUACCUUCUACUCAACAAUAUGAUUAUAUUGCAUUAUUUUCUUCAUUAUUUAAAAUGUUUCUCAUUUCCCUCCAAUUUCAGUUGAAAGCGAAAUCGAAGACGAACUAUCUUAAAGUUUUGCCUGACAAAGAUAGCUGGACUUCAGGUAUAAUUCUACACAUCAAUAUAUACAUUACAGCUGCAUGCAUCUCAAACAUACAAACUGAUAAUAAUAUUAUAGAUAAAUUUUAAUAGUGUUACUUAAUCAAUAUAGUUAAUGAAUCUAUUGAUUGAUUAAAUGUUUAUUUCAUGUGUUGUUGUCAUGGACUGUUGCCUAAAAAUGAUGUAUCUAAUGCUUUGCAUAUUUAUUUCAUUUUUUGCUGUGAUGGAGUGUGAUCUGCCCGGUGAUCACGGAGGUGGCCUGCCCGGUGGCCUAUAUAUAAACUAAGUAAAUUUUAAUAUUUGAGAAAGAUGAUGUUUAUAUUCCUUAAGUGUUUAUUUAAUUUUUCGGUUUGAUGGAGAGUGAUCUGCCCGGUGAUCACGGAGUUGGCCUGCCUGGUGGCCUAUACUUGAUCAAUUCAAUUUUAUUAACUCAAGUCUGCAUUUCUUUUAACUCAUUCUAUUAGAUUCAAAAAUCUGUAAUCAAUGCAUUUCUUUAUAAUAAACUUGUACACUUGUAGUGCCACUAAAAUCAUUAUUUGAAAUAUCAUUUUAACUUAACUUAUUAUAGAUAGUAUACAUUAGUAAAUACACCAAAAAUAUUAUGCUGUGUUUCCAAAUAUUAUUUUAAAGAUAUAUUUUAGUAGCAACAAUAUAACUUCAUUACAAAAUAGGAUAAAGAUUACACUUCUUCAUAUGUCAUCUUACACCAUUGACUAUCAGUGCAUAUAGAUUACACUUAAUAUAAUAGUCAACAACAUAGCUACUUAAAUACUUCAUAAUAGUAAAUCUUCUCAACCUUCACCACAACUUUCACCUUCUUCUUGGAUUAAUAUCUUAAAAGAUAUUAAAAUAUAUAUUUUAGUAGCAACAAUUUAACUUCAUUACAAAAUAACAUAAAGACUACACUUCUUCAUAUGUCAUCUUACACCAUUGACUGUCAGUGCAUAUAGAUUGCACUUAAUAUAACAGUCAACUACUUACAUAUUUUCUACAAAACAAAAAAAACCUUUCAGCUCGGUAAGAUGACAAUGUUCUACGAAAUACAUUAUAAUAGUAACAGCAACAACAUAGCUACUUCAAUACUUCAUAAUACUAAACCUUCUCAACCUUCACCACAGCCUUCACCUUCUUCUUAGUAGAAGAUUUAUCAAACUCUGCUUGCAAAUUUCUCUUCACAGAAGAUCCUAAAACCUUUUCAUAAUUUCCCACCAACUCGUUCUCAGGGAUAAUAGAAGACUUCACCGACUUGGAAUAAACCUGAAACACAAAUGAAGAAAAUUAAAUCACCUUUUUAAUAGCAGUGGUUUCCUAUUCAGCAAAAUUUCCAUGAAAGAUAACUCAUUUAAAUAACCUUUUUAUUUCCAGACAGAACUGGUAUCAUCGUGAUCUGCGACAAACACUCACACUCUUCUUCAAACGAUUUUUGAGAAGACUGAACAUUAAACUCUCCUUGAGAAUUCUGACCAUUAGUAGAAGCAUAUUUCUGCACAGUAUCAGCAUUGUUGCACACUUUUAGAACAGUGUAUGGCCUGUCAUUCAGUGUUUUGAUAUCAGCUCUCAGCUGAACUUUGAACAGGAUAGUCUUCCCAAUAAGAGCACUUUCAAUUUCUUUAGGGAUAAUUUCCAAGUGACCAAUCUGUUACAGGGAAUAAAAACUUAACCUGUUAAAACGAAAAUUUAUUUUGUAUAGUUUCAAUUUUUUUUCUAAAACAAACAUAACAACAAUCUUCAUAAAUUAUUCAAAUAAUGAACUCUACAAUACCUCAUUGCCUUUCAGCUCUAUCUCUGAUGCUUUCUUUCCCAGUAGAGUUAUGGAUUCUUUAUCCCAAACCAAGAGUGAUACAUUGUUUGUAGAGUCAACUACAUUAAGUAUCAACAUGUACCUACAAUAAUACAACAUUUAAAUAUAACUGACAUAUACUAAAAUUCCUUUAAUUCGAAGAGUAGGGGCCAAACCUUUGAUUAGCUUUCCCAUCAUAUUUGUUGCAAGCACCACAGAAAAAUCUAUUGUUCAAUUUAGCCACUUUCCUUGUGCAUCGAACACAGGCCAUAUAACACCAAGUAUAUGAGCAAUCAACUGACUCAAUAGUACCACAAAUCCAUGCUUCUCCAUUCUACAUAAAAUUAGUAAACUGAAGUAAAUUCACAAAGUACAUUUCAUAUGACAAUUUCAAAUAACCAUUAGUUGUAUAAGAAAACUACCUCAUUGGUCACAAUUUCAUCAAUAGCCUUAACAUUUAUAUCUUCAUCAGAGACUGAAUCUUCUUUAACAGUUUCCAAAUUCAGUGAGAGUGUUUUUUGGAAAAUUUGAUCCCCACUGACACUGAAUCAAAUAAAACAAAUUAAAAGCUUAUAAAUUGAUACUAAAUGGUACAAAUAAAAUUAUUCAUCACACAAAAAACUCUUACAGCUCCCUGAACUUUUUUAUCUCCUCAAUUUCAGUGUUUAGGAACAGCCUAGAAACAUUUCUGCUUGUGCACACACGAACAUCGCCUACAAAAAACCAAAAAAUAUAUACUGAAUAUAACACUAUUAAAAUAAGAAACAAACUUUCACAUUUAAGAUAUAAACUUGUACCUUUGUAAAGCGUUGGCCUGCAAAAUUGUACUAUAACAAUUGGCAGUUGUUUAUGUUCAUUGCUAGCUUGCAUUUUAAAUGAGUCCACAUAAUCCUCCCACAAAGUGCAAUAGAUUUUAUUGUGGCUACACAUAAAAAUGAAAAAAAGUCAAAUUUCAAGAAGCAACAACAAAACAUAACAGUUAGGCAGAUUUUUUUAAACAUACCUAGCAUCCUCAAGCACAAGCUCUAUGAGCUUCACAUUAUUCUGAUCUUUGAUAUACCCUUUGCCCACCAACACUCCAAUAACAUCUACAAUUUAAAUAAAUGUUAAUAUACACAAAUUUAUUUUAUUUGAACAUAUUCAAUAACAUGUAAUUCAUUAUUUACCAAACAACACUUCCUCAUUAGCAUCUUCAAUAGCACUUAUGUCACUGAAAUCCUUAAAUAGGAAUUUUUGCAACGGAAAAUCAGGAUCCACACAGGCUGACAUAUGACUUUUUGGGAACAGCACAAUUCUGUAAGGAUUGUCAACUGUCUUGUUCCUCACAAAGUUGUUAUUUCGCACAAAAAAAUUCCUAAUUUGCACAACAACAUCCUCUUGCAUAAUAUGCCCAAGUGCACCACACUGUCCACGUGGUAUAGUCAAAAUGAAUUCUUGUACCCCUAUAAAGAAACAUGCAAUAUACAUGUCAACACAAAAUAAGUAGGAUAUUAUCUAUAUAUAUAUAAAAUUGGACUACUAUACAAUCUGUUAUUAAUAAAUGAUUUCACAUAAAACAGUAAAUAUUAACUAUUACCAACAUAGAAUAUUUCUACCAAAUUUUAAUUUGUUAUCUUGUUUUCUAUGUAACAAAAUACUCUUUAUAUUUUACNAACUGAUAAUAAUACUAUAGAUAAAUUUUGAAAGUGUUACUUAAUCAAUAAAGUUGAUGAAUCUAUUGAUUGAUUAAAUGUUUAUUUCAUGUUUUGCUGUGAUGGACUGUCACCUAUUUAUUUGCGUGUUUAUUUCAUUUUUUUGCUGUGAUGGAGUGUGAUAAACUAAGUAAAUUUUAAACACAGCAGAAAUAUGAUGUAUGUAUUUCUUAAGUGUUUAUUUAAUUUUUCAGUUUGAUGGAGAGUUCAUAUUAAAACUGUCAAUAUAAAAAACAAUAAAUAUCAUUUGAUUAGUACAACACAUGAUAGAUGCGUUACAAAAUAUAAUACCUCACGAUCAUGCACCACACAUUCAAUAGAGGAUUGUUCCCCUCCAUACUUGAUAGCAUAGCGACGAAUGCAUCUGACUUUUAUCAUUGAAUUUGUUACAGAAGGAUGCAAAUCCACAAUUUUGGUAUACACAGGUGCCAUGAUGUCUUCCAAUACCUGCAAUCAUUAAAAAAAUAUCAAUCAUUCUCUGUAACACUUAUCUGUAAUAGGUAGUAUUUGUAAGAAAAGAUUCAUUAUAUGUACACCUUAGAUAUAGAUUUUUAGUACUUAAGAGAUAAACUUGAACUACACAAACAGGGCUCACAACUUUCAAGCAUAACAGAAGAACAGCAAAGGUAUGUAAACAGGUAGACUUUCCAUUCUUUUCAGUAUAUUAUUUAUCAGUCUAAUAUUACCUCUGAAUCUCUUCUUGAAAUAUUUCUGCUAAAACAAUAAGUUUCAAACAGCUUUCAUCAAACACAAAUUUAUGAUUCUGAAUCUCUUCUUGAAAUAUUUCUGCUAAAACAGUAAGUUUCAAACAGCUUUCAUCAAACACAAAUUUAUGAUUCUGAAUCUCUUCUUGAAAUAUUUCUGCUAAAACAGUAAAUUUCAAACAGCUUUCAUCAAACACAAAUUUAUGUUUUUUUUGGAAUAUUUCUUUCUUAAAUCAUUCAUUUGGACAGCUAUCUUUAAACAACAAACUAUAUUUUUUGGAUAAAUAUUUAUUUUUUGAAUAAUAUACAAAGCUAAUAGGUCAUAUUCAUUCAAUAUUCAUUGACAAGUUAUGCAAACAAUGAUAUAAACACAGACUCUCGCAUUUGCAAAAUGAAACCAAAAUAUAUGGAUUUCAACUUCCAUCGAAUAUUCUUCAGAAACUGAUAUAUUUACAAAGAUGAAAACCUUUCUCCCAAAAUAUUUUAGAAAAUGAAAACCUUUUUGCUAAAAUAAAAGUAUAUUUUAACAGAGAAGAAGAGAAUACCAGCAAAUAUUUUUUCAGAGUAUUUUUUCGAAAAUGAACGAAGGAAAUGAACAGCCAAUGGGUUCUAUUUAUAGGCAAACUUAGGACGAAUGCAAAUUUUGAAUUUUGCCCCCAUGUUUGGGCCCCAAGUUUACCGUAAAUUAGCUGCUUUUGCCGCCCAAAUUGUGGUUUUCAAGGCAUUUAAGGGUAAACUAAUAAACCUUUGAAUAUUAAGAAUAUUACACAGCAGAUUUUUGAUAAACUAAAACAUGGUGGUUAAAAAGGUGAUAGAUUUUCCCGCCAUUUUUCAUGCAAGAUAAGGCUCAGCUUUUAUAUAUAUAUAGAUAUAAAAGAGCAGUUUAAUGGUAAAAUUUUACCGCCAAUUUUUCUCUCCCUAAUAAAAAAACUAUAUUCUCUCUCCCACAAUCUAUCCCACUAUUUACUCAUUAAAUAUCUAUUAGUUAAUCCAUAUAUAUAAAACAUGCACGAAUUUUUUCUACAAAAAUUUCUCUCUUUACUUUGCAUUUUUUUGUUUUGAUUCUUUUUUAAAAUUCAUCAACUUUUACUUAUAAAAAAAUAUUUUAUAUGG